rnacentral:misc_RNA from 1 species
AAGUCGUAACAAGGUUUCCGUAGGUGAACCUGCGGAAGGAUCAUUAACACGUAUCCAACGUUAAACAACCCUGUGAACUUUCAGACGCUCUUGUAGCCCAGGAGGAACAGCAAUCCCGGUAAAUCAAUGGCAGAAAAGUUUUGAUUCGGGACCUCUGUCCAAACGCAUCACGGUUGCCAGAGGUCGAUCACCGGCCGGCAGACAUGUCACAGGGCUUUACGCCCCUUCAUUCACCCCUUGCCUAAUCAAGCCCCGCGGAAACGCCGGGCAAAAAAAUCUGAACAACUGUUAACAAUGGAUAUCUUGGUUCUC